rnacentral:rRNA from 1 species
AAUCAACGCUGGCGGCGUGCCUAACACAUGCAAGUCGAACGCGAAAGCCCCGAAAGGGGCAAGUAGAGUGGCAAACGGGUGAGUAACGCGUGGGUGACCUGCCUUCGAGCGGGGGAUAACGUUCCGAAAGGGACGCUAAUACCGCAUAACAUCCUGCCUUUGAAGAGGUGGAGAUCAAAGCUGGGGAUCGCAAGACCCGGCACUUGAAGAGGGGCCCGCGUCUGAUUAGCUAGUUGGGAGGUAAUGGCUCACCAAGGCUUCGAUCAGUAUCCGGCCUGAGAGGGCGGACGGACACAC